AGUCAAAUCUGGGUGAACUGUGAAGUGUGCAGCAAAAGUCGCAAAAGUUAGAAAAUGAAGAAAGCAAACAAUAAACUUGAUUUUGUACAGUAAUUAAUAAUUAAUAUUUUCUAAAAUGAGAUAAAAUGCACUCAAAACUACAAUUUCACCAAAAUGUUCAGUUACGACGUCAAAUUUCUAACGAGUGACGAUUCCAUUUAUUUAAAAAACACCGAAUUCAAAAGUUUGAAGUAUGAAACUAAGAAAAAGGUUGAGGAAUCAGUCCACGAUAAUGGAAAAAGAAGUUUUUGCGAACGACGUGGUGGACUUUGGUGGACGACACGACCAAGACAACUUCGUCAAUUAGAAUCCAAGCUCCGCGAUAGAAAUAUAGUGUACAGUGAAUGGACUACAGAUUCCCUAUGUACCUUAGUAUUUUCUUCAGGGGUCAUAGCAUAUAUCACAGUAAAAUGCAGUACUUUAGAUGUGACCCAUAUAUUAUUUGAUAGAUAUUGUAUUGGCAAACUCAAUGGGCAAAUGGUUACAGGUGUUGUUUUGUGUAAAUCACUCCUGUUGUUCACCCAUGCUGAUAAGACAGGCACAUUGAUCACUUUUGGCAAAAAUAAUUUUAACAGUCUUCCCAUACAAAUCUCAGAUAGAGAUCCACAUUUGCAGAUAAUAGAUCUAGGUGGUAGUGCAAGAAGAGCAGAUCGGCGGGUGUCCUCGUGUGAAACACCCAGCUAUGUCCGAGUGUUAGUAUGGGGUGCCAGUGUGAUUGAGCCUGCGCCAUGGAGUCCCGUACUUGAAGAUCAUGCCAACUUACACUUGUACCAGAUAAGUGGGCAACAAGUGACAUUAAUAGCAUACCACCAGCUAGAGAAUGAAGUUCUGUUUGCUGAACUUUCACAUAAAUAUGAUCACAUAGUGCAUAUUGUUGAACAAACUGCUUGUCACAAGAAUGGAGUAACUUUGACAUGGUUACGAUACGAAAUACCCGAAGGAGAAACUAGACUAAAAAAACUAUCUACCCUGAGUGAGAACGUAACGCGAGUGUCGUUACCCGCGCCUGCGCGAGUCGCGCGACGAGCGCCCUGCGACUCCAGGCUGCUCGUCUCUUGUAUAGACGCCUCAAUACACGUCGCACAUCACAUUGUAGGCCUCACCCAUUCCACGAGAGCUGGGUUUAUAGCCACGGACGUGCGAUGGGCGGGCGAGCUGAUAGUGGCUACAGAGGAAGCAGGCAGGCUGCAGUGUUUUGAUCGUGCUCUUUCGUUGUUACACCACCACACUAAAUGCUUGGAUCUCACUUCUUACAUGCGGGAUGCAAAACGUUUACAAAUAUUGGCAAGCCUGACUCUAAGAGGUGGGCCUCUUAUUCUGGCCUCAUUUACCAGAGGGCCCUUGACGCUUCUCCGAAUAACACACGCGCGUUUACUAUCAGCAUGGAUACGAUCUUGUCGUACGUCGAACGCGGUAGCUUUACUUCGGGCACUUGACUGGGAGGAGGAAGGUGCGGAAUGCCUCAACGCAAUCAGUGAAAUAGUACGCAACGCGCUCCGAAAGGGCGCGCUAGGGGAGAGUGGGGAAAUGGUGCAAAUGGCCUUAGGUGCGUACUUGGCGCCGACUGUUCCUCUGCCGGCCAUGGCUGCCAAGUAUGCGCCUGCUGUACACGACUUGGCUAGAAAAUUCUUCCAUCACUUGCUCAGACGCGGUCGUAUCGAGAAGGCGCUUAGCCUGGCGGUAGACUUGGCGGCAUGGGACUUGUUCGUGGACGCGCGCUGCGCCGCCAAGCGACUCAACCUGCCUCAGCUCGUGGAGGAGGCCAACACUUGCGCGGCACACUAUGCACGGUUGGACAGAACUAAUUCAGAAUGUUCCGAAUCAUGUUCACAAUGCAGUUCACAUUCAUACUCCGGUUCGGACGAUGAAUCGAGUUUGUCUUCCAAAGCGAUCAAAAGUAACCCCCCGCCGCUGCCACGAGUCCCUCUACCUCCGCACCCCUCCAUCCUCACCGUCCCUAUAACCCAAAAUGAACCAUAUAAGGCAAACAGCAUUCGGCCAAACCUACACCAAUAUCUAGAACGAGAUACUACAAUAUGGGCCAAAGAUAUCCCUUCGAGGGAUGACACCUAUAUUGGCAGCAUGUACAAAAGAGACGUAAAACCAGCAAACACAGUCCAAAACGUGCGAUGGGGUAGUAUGGACAAUGUCCUCAACUUCCAGAGGCCUCCCAAAAGUUCUGUGAACUACGAAUACACGAAAGCAACUCAGAGCGUAUUAGAUAUUCUACCUCGAAAUCAAGACGAGAGGAUAGCGUCGCAUUUCAAACACUUAUUCCAGACUGAAUUGAUGGAAGAAGCUAGCAACGACAGAUAUAUAGCCAAUAUAUCGAGCAAUAGUAAUUUUAACGGUCGCUAUCCUCAAGACAAAUUCUGGACUGGCAUGAAGCCGGAGAAGAAUAAGGUCAAGUUCUCUGAUACAGUUACAAUUUCAGUUGUCUCCGACCCUCUGACUCCGAACCCAGCUCACGAGCUGGCCGCGAGCCUGCCGCUGUGUCCGCCGCACGCCUACCUGACCGCCUUCGCGCCGCUGCCAGCCCCGCUCCCCGCGCCGCUUGCCGCCCCGCCCGCCGCUCCGCCCCCGCCCGGUACUACGCUCGACUACGUCGAAGUGUGACGCAUGACCACUGACCACGUGUGUUAACCCUUGCACUAUCACUACCCAUAAUAUUGUAAAAGCAAAAUUUUUUCACAAACUAAGCUGAUUUCUAUUUCCAUGUUAGUGACGAUAAUGCUGCUCAGAAAGUCCCAAAAAUCAAAGUUGUACAUUUUGGAUUGGUGUAACUCUACAUUGAUAUUAUUUAGUUCAAUUUAACUUAUACCCACUGUAUUCCGUCCAUCACUUUUAUAUUUUAUAGCUUUAAAACUUAUAUUAAGACAUAAAUCAUAAUUGUAUAUUUUAAUAUGCCUAUUAUACAUCUCCAACUAAA